rnacentral:rRNA from 1 species
AUUGAACGCUGGCGGCAGGCCUAACACAUGCAAGUCGAGCGGAUGAAGGGAGCUUGCUCCUGGAUUCAGCGGCGGACGGGUGAGUAAUGCCUAGGAAUCUGCCUGGUAGUGGGGGAUAACGUCCGGAAACGGGCGCUAAUACCGCAUACGUCCUGAGGGAGAAAGUGGGGGAUCUUCGGACCUCACGCUAUCAGAUGAGCCUAGGUCGGAUUAGCUAGUUGGUGGGGUAAAGGCCUACCAAGGCGACGAUCCGUAACUGGUCUGAGAGGAUGAUCAGUCACACUGGAACUGAGACACGGUCCAGACUCCUACGGGAGGCCGCAGUGGGGAAUAUUGGACAAUGGGCGAAAGCCUGAUCCAGCCAUGCCGCGUGUGGGAAGAAGGUCUUCGGAUUGUAAAGCACUGUAAGUUGGGAGGAAGGGCAGUAAGUUAAUACCUGGCUGUUUUGACGUUACCAACAGAAUAAGCACCGGCUAACUUCGUG